rnacentral:rRNA from 1 species
UACGGAGGGUGCGAGCGUUAUCCGGAAUUACUGGGUUUAAAGGGUGCGUAGGCGGCGCUGUAAGUCAGGCGUGAAAGUUUGCGGCUCAACCGUAAAAUUGCUUUUGAUACUGCGGUGCUGGAAUUAGGAUGAGGUCAGCGGAAUGUGGCAUGUAGCGGUGAAAUGCAUAGAUAUGCCAUAGAACACCAAUUGCGAAGGCAGCUGGCUAGACCUGGAUUGACGCUGAGGCACGAAAGCGUGGGGAGCGAACAGG